UACGAAGGGGGGCUAGCGUUGCUCGGAAUCACUGGGCGUAAAGCGCACGUAGGCGGAUCUUUUAAGUCAGGGGGUGAAAUCCCAAGGCUCAACCUUGGAACUGCCUUUGAUACUGGGGGAUCUCGAGUCCGGAAGAGGUUGGUGGAACUCCGAGUGUAGAGGUGAAAUUCGUAGAUAUUCGGAAGAACACCAGUGGCGAAGGCGGCCAACUGGUCCGGCACUGACGCUGAGGUGCGAAAGCGUGGGGAGCAAACAGG
rnacentral:rRNA from 1 species